UACGUAGGGUGCAAGCGUUGUCCGGAAUCAUUGGGCGUAAAGCGCGCGUAGGUGGCUUCGUAAGUCCGUUGUGAAAGUCAAAGGCUCAACCUUUGAACGCCGAUGGAUACUGCGGAGCUAGAGUACGGAGGAGGCGAGUGGAAUUCCUGGUGUAGCGGUGGAAUGCGCAGAUAUCAGGAGGAACACCAAUAGCGAAGGCAGCUCGCUGGGACGUUACUGACACUAAGGCGCGAAAGCGUGGGGAGCGAACAGG
rnacentral:rRNA from 1 species